rnacentral:rRNA from 1 species
CGCUAUCACUCCUACGGGAGGCAGCAGUGGGGAAUAUUGCACAAUGGGGGAAACCCUGAUGCAGCCAUGCCGCGUGUGUGAAGAAGGCCUUCGGGUUGUAAAGCACUUUCAGUAGGGAGGAAUGUAGUGUAGUUAACACCUGCAUUAUUUGACGUUACCUACAGAAGAAGCACCGGCUAACUCCGUGCCAGCAGCCGCGGUAAUACGGAGGGUGCGAGCGUUAAUCGGAAUUACUGGGCGUAAAGCGCAUGCAGGCGGCCUGUUAAGUCAGAUGUGAAAGCCCGGGGCUUAACCUCGGAAUUGCAUUUGAAACUGGCAGGCUAGAGUCUUGUAGAGGGGGUAGAAUUUCAGGUGUAGCGGUGAAAUGCGUAGAGAUCUGAAGGAAUACCAGUGGCGAAGGCGGCCCCCCUGGACAAAGACUGACGCUCAGAUGCGAAAGCGUGGGGAGCAAACAGGAUUAGAUACCCUGGUAG